rnacentral:lncRNA from 1 species
GUUGCUAGGUAUCACAUUCUCCAGGAUGACCACGGCUACCUGAAACCCCUCUAUGCCAAACAGCUUGUAAUAGCUAAAACUUGAAAAGAGCCCAAUUGCCCAUCAACUGGAGACUGGAUAAUGAAGGUGUCAAAACAGUGAUGUGCCCCUAGUGUCCAGCUCCAGCCUUCCUCAGUGACUUGGUCCUGGCACACCUUGGAUGAGAGCCUGGGGAAAUACAAGGGACUGACUAAAGAUCCAACAAAGGAUGGCCGACAACAUAAAGCUGUGAAUGUCAAGCAAAAGACAAGUGGGACUUGGUGUGGCAGAAGUAUGGAUCUGGUUUGACACUGUCCUCUUUUCAAAUACAUCUUAAGCUUCCAUUUCUGGAUCCCUCCAUGUGUAUUUUCCUCUGUCUUCUCCCUUCCCCUCCUCUUUCC